CAGCACCUCAAGUGGUCAGGAUGAUUAUUGGGCCUAAAGCAUCCGUAGCCGGCGCUGUAAGUUUUCGGUUAAAUCUGUACGCUCAACGUACAGGCUGCCGGGAAUACUGCAGCGCUAGGGAGUGGGAGAGGUAGACGGUACUCGGUAGGAAGGGGUAAAAUCCUUUGAUCUAUUGAUGACCACCUGUGGCGAAGGCGGUCUACCAGAACACGUCCGACGGUGAGGGAUGAAAGCUGGGGAGCAAAACGGAUUAGAUACCCGAGUAGUCC
rnacentral:rRNA from 1 species